rnacentral:rRNA from 1 species
GGUUUUUCAAAAACAUGGCCUGUUGGUUAUAUUUAUUUCAGGUCUGGCCUGCUCAAUGAUUAUUAUUUAAUUAAAUGGCCGCAGUACUUUGACUGUGCGAAGGUAGCAUAAUCAUUUGUCUUUUAAUUGUAGGCUUGUAUGAAUGGUUUGAUGAAGUACUAACUUUCUUUUAAUCAUAAAAAAGAACUUAAUCUUUGAGUUAAAAAGCUUAAAUUCUUUCAUAGGACGAGAAGACCCUAUAGAAUUUUAUUAUAAGGGGUAUAUUUUAUAUGAGGAUUUUAUUAAUAAUGUUUAUCUCUUAUAAUUUUGUUGGGGUGACAGGGAAAUUGUAUAAACUUUCUUUUUAUUUGUUAUUUAUUUAUUUAUAUAUUAUUGAUCCCUUGAUUAGGGAUAUUAAGAUUAAAUUACCUUAGGGAUAACAGCGUAAUUUUCUUGGAGAGUUCUUAUCGAUAAGGGAGUUUGCGACCUCGAUGUUGGAUUAAAAUAUGUUUUAAGUGCAGAAGCUUAAUUACUAGGUCUGUUCGACCUUUAAUAUUUUACA